rnacentral:lncRNA from 10 species
CAAAAGAUGGUUUCCUGUGUCUAGUUCAGCUUGAGCUGCAACAGUUUCUCCCAAGUGAUGAUCACGAUCACUUUCUUUGUGGCCACCUCUACAUGACCUUCGUGCCCAGUAUUGCUCCUUUCACCUGUUCCCUGAGGCAAAUAGAUGGUAACAUCUCUACUGCCACAAGUCACAGGAGAGUAACUAAUGGAAACAGCUUCAGGAAACAGACUUAAAGAUGGGUUUCAUCGAUUGGAUUGAAAAUAUAUUUGAGAGCAUUGGAGAUAUCAUUCUUGCUGUGAGAGAUGGAAAUAAUACAUGUUGUGUGUUGGCAACAUGGUUAUUCAAAUAAUUACUGGUGGAAGCAUGAAAUAAAAGGAUGAAGAGAGAAACCCAAGACAGAGAGCAGGAUUGAAGAUGAAUCUGCAUAAACAAACUAUACUAAAAUAACCCCUGUCCUACUCCAUUUGUGCUGCUAUAACAAAAUACCAGAGACUGGGUAACUUAUAAAGAGCAAACAUUUAUUUCUUACAGUAUGCAAUCUGCAAAGUUUAAAAUCAAAGUAUCAGCAAAAUUGCUGUCUGGAGAUGGCUGCUCUCCACUUCCAAGAUGGAGCCGUGUUACUGCAUCCUCAGAAGGGGAGAAAAGCUGUGUCCUCAUGUGAUGGAAUGGAUGGAGGGGCAAGAAGUGUAAGCUCUUUCUGAAGCCUCUUUCAUAAGGGCAUUAAUCUACUAAUGAGGGCAGAGCUCUCAUGACUUAACCACUUCCCCUUAAGCCCCACCUCUUAAUAAUACCUAAGUUUCAACAUAAAUUUUAGAGAGGACACCACAUUCAACUCAUAGCAGACGUUAUGUUUUCUUAGUUUCCCCAUAUGUUUUCUUGUCAUUUUCCUAUAAUUUUUAGCCUUAGAAAAUCAAGUCCCUUUCCUUUGUCUAGACAGCUCUCCAUAAUUUACUGCUGUUUGUUAAAAUGGU